GUGCUCCAAAAUCUGAAUUCAAAAACACCUUAAUAAAAAUCUAAAAUUGGCGAAGUUUUUAGACAAAAUUGAAAAAAAAAAAUAAUUUUGGUAAAUUUUCUAUAAAUAUCAAAUUUCGAAAAUAUUUUCCAUAUUAGGGGACAUGUGUACAUAUAAACGUCUAAAAAAGGCAUCCCACUUCAGGACUGCAGACAAAAAACAACAAAUUAGUAGACAAGUUAUUCAAUAUGAAUAUAAUAAGCAUAACCAACAAGAACGUGUUGACGACGAGAAGAAUAGAAAUAAAUACGGCUACUAAUUUCAUCGACAGAGUACUAAAAAUCAGUGACAAAAUAUAUCAUCAAGAAAACGAAAUAAAGAAAAAUUCAACAUAUACUACGAUUAAAUGACUUCUCAAGCAAAGCUAUUAGGGACCUUAUAAAAUUCGUCAAGAAUAGAACACCGAACAACAAAAUUGAACCAACACUAAAAAUCUUCAAGAUAACGACGUAUUUUUUAGGGUUUUCGGAAAGGCUUACCAAUUCCAAUACAUACAACAGCGUAAAAUACCAGCUUGCUUUAAAAAGCCACAACACACUGAAUAGUAUAUUCAGCAGGACUAAAUGAAGGAUGAAAAAGCAGGGCAAAUCAAAUGUAGUUUAUAAGAUUAAAUGUAACGGCGAUGAAGCUAAUUUAUGUCAUGUGCCAUAUGUAGGAACAACCAAAACUAAAUUAAAAACAAGAUUAUCAUCGCACAAAUCUGUCCAGAAAAUGAAAGACAAACCUUUAGAACAAAAAACUGCACUUGCAGCACAUUGCACUUUAACAGGGCAUAAACCAAAUUUUAAAGACGUAGACAUACUAGCACAAGAAUCCAAUCGGAAAAGACGAUUUACAUUAGAAAUGUUACAUAUUAUUGACAUCCCUACAUACAAACGUAUGAACUUAAAGAAAGACACAGACAAUUGUGCUCAAAUUUACAGGAAUUUGGUACAAAAAUACAGACAAAUAUGAGAGAGCUGUAGUCGAACUUGUGCGCUGUAAAGCAAAAGUCGAUUAUUUUGUUUCAAAAUUAAAAACCUUGAUGAAGAUCUCUGGCGGUGGUCGAAAUAUUGGUAAAAAUUACAAAUGAAACAACUAUAUAAAACACCAACACCUGUUUUUGUAAAUUGUUCGAUGACCUCGAGCCAAACCAAGAAGACAAAGUUAUAAAAUCCAUUAUAGUCAAAAUUUUUUGUAAAAAUAAAAACUUGACAAAAUUA